rnacentral:rRNA from 1 species
UACGGAGGGUGCAAGCGUUGUCCGGAAUUAUUGGGCGUAAAGAGCUCGUAGGCGGUUUGUUGCGUCGGCUGUGAAAUCCCGAGGCUCAACCUCGGGUCUGCAGUCGAUACGACCAAACUAGAGUGUUGCAGGGGAGACUGGAAUUCCUGGUGUAGCGGUGAAAUGCGCAGAUAUCAGGAGGAACACCGGUGGCGAAGGCGG